GUGCUCGCUUCGGCAGCACAUAUACUAAAAUAGUAAUGAUGUAGAGAUUAGCAUGGCCCCUGCACAAGGAUGAUGCACAAAUUCGUGAAGCGUUCUGGGUGGCA